rnacentral:rRNA from 1 species
UACGAAGGGUGCGAGCGUUGCUCGGAAUUAUUGGGCGUAAAGCGCACGUAGGCGGCUUUGUAAGUUGGAUGUGAAAGCCCUCGGCUCAACCAAGGAAGUGCAUCCAAAACUACAAAGCUUGAGUACUUAAGAGGAUCGCGGAAUUCCCGGUGUAGAGGUGAAAUUCGUAGAUAUCAGGAGGAACACCGAUGGCGAAGGCAGGCCUCUGGGCAUUAACUGACGCUGAGGAGCGAAAGCAUGGGGAGCGAACAGG